UGUCAAUGAAAACAAAGCUGAAGGAAAUGUUGGAAUUAGAAGAGGGUGAUAAGAGGUGUUAUGAACCGCAUUGGAGACAUCUACGUUGGAUUGACAGGAAUGACUUGACAGAUCAUAAUGUGAUGAAUAACUGUUUGAAAGGAAUGAAAGAAAGAGAUAAACUUUUUCAUAAAGAGGAAUGGGCCGAAAUAAGUGCUCU